UGGUAGUGUAUUGGACAACCAUGGCUUUAACGGGUAACGGAGGAUUAGGGUUCGAUUCCGGAGAGGGAGCCUGAGAAACGGCUACCACAUGUAUGUAAGGCAGCAGGCGCGUAAAUUACCCAAUCCUAAUUCAGGGAGGUAGUGACAAGAAAUAACGGACUGAGGCCUACGCUUCAGGAUUGCAAUGAGUAGAAUUUAAACCCCUUUGCGAGGAUCAAUUGGAGGGCAAGUCUGGUGCCAGCAGCCGCGGUAAUUCCAGCUCCAAUAGCGUAUAUUAAAGUUGUUGCAGUUAAAAAGCUCGUAGUUGGAUUUCUGGGAGGGUGCCAAUGUCCGCUUGUUGCGUGUGCAGCGGCGCCCUUCCAUCCUUCUGUUAACCUUUCUUGGUAUUAACUUACUGGUUGGGGGCUCAGAUAUUUUACCUUGAGAAAAUUAGAGUGUUUAAGGCAGGCUUGUGCCCGAAUACAUUAGCAUGGAAUAAUAGAAUAGGACUUUGGUCUCCUUUGUUGGUUUGAGGGACUAGAGUAAUGAUUAAUAGGGACAGUUGGGGGCAUUAGUAUUUAAUUGUCAGAGGUGAAAUUCUCGGAUUUGUUAAAGUACUAA
rnacentral:rRNA from 1 species